GAAAAAGGACAUGGAGAAACAGGAUCGUGAAAGAAAAAAGGAAGAACAAAGGCUGAUGCGUGAACAGCAAAGGAAGGAGGAGCGAUUUCAGCGCGAGGAGAAACGUGAAAUGGAGAGGAGAGAGAAGUUUUUGCAGAGGGAGCUCGUGAGGGUGGAGAGGAAAAAACAAAAAGAUGAGCUACGAAAAGAGAAAGAAGCUGCAAAACAGAAGGCUGCUAUGGAGAAGGCAAUGGCACGCAGAAUUGCUAAAGAAUCAAUGGAGCUGAUCGAGGAUGAGCGCUUGGAACUUAUGGAUCUGGCUGCCUCUAGCAAAGGGCUACCAUCAAUUGCAUCUCUUAAUUAUGACACUUUGCAGAACCUUGAGUCAUUUAGAGAAUCUUUGUGUGAAUUCCCUCCCAAGUCUGUUCAAUUGAAAAAACCAUUCUCCGUCGAACCCUGGAUUGCUUCAGAUGACAAUGUCGGGAAUCUUCUUAUGGCUUGGAGAUUCUGCUUAAAUUUUGCAGACAUUCUCGGGCUUUGGCCUUUCACACUUGACGAAUUUCUUCAAGCUUUCCAUGACUAUGAUUCCAGAUUGUUGGCUGAGAUACAAAUUGCUCUUUUGAAACUGAUUAUAAAAGAUAUUGAAGAUGUUGCUAGAACACCUGCCAGUGCAGUAGGAGCAAACCCAAAUGUGAAUCCUGGAGGCGGACACCCUGAUAUAGUCGAAG
rnacentral:misc_RNA from 1 species